rnacentral:rRNA from 1 species
AAAAACUGAGGUGGUAUACGAUGGUUCCGCGUCUGAUUAGCUAGUUGGUGGGGUAAAAGCCUACCAAGGCAACGAUCAGUAGCCGGCCUGAGAGGGUGAACGGCCACAUUGGGACUGAGACACGGCCCAAACUCCUACGGGAGGCAGCAGUGGGGAAUAUUGCACAAUGGGGGAAACCCUGAUGCAGCGACGCCGCGUGAGUGAAGAAGUAUUUCGGUAUGUAAAGCUCUAUCAGCAGGGAAGAAAUACUGACCAUAGGGUCAGCAGACGGUACUUGACUAAGAAGCCCCGGCUAACUACGUGCCAGCAGCCGCGGUAAUACGUAGGGGGCAAGCGUUAUCCGGAUUUACUGGGUGUAAAGGGAGCGUAGACGGCAGCGCAAGUCUGAAGUGAAAUGCCGGGGCUUAACCCUGGAACUGCUUUGGAAACUGUGCAGCUAGAGUGCAGGAGAGGUAAGUGGAAUUUCUAGUGUAGCGGUGAAAUGCGUAGAUAUUAGGAGGAACACCAGUGGCGAAGGCGGCUUACUGGACUGUAACUGACGUUGAGGCUCGAAAGCGUGGGGAGCAAACAGGAUUAGAUACCCUGGUAGUCCACGCUGUAAACGAUGAUUACUAGGUGUUGGGGGACCAAGGUUCUUCG